UUAGUACUACCUUCGUCCGGAAAUACUUGUCCUAGAAAUGAAUAAAAUGGAUGUAUCUAUAACUAAAAUAAGUCUAGAUACAACCAUUUUCAGGACAAGUAUUUCCGGACGGAGGGAGUAUAAA
rfam:Triticum aestivum genome assembly, contig: Triticum_aestivum_CS42_TGACv1_scaffold_433665_5DL